rnacentral:rRNA from 1 species
AUGCGGUCAAUCGUCGUUUCCUUGUGAAGACCUUUCUACGAGUCGAGUUGUUUGGGAAUGCAGCUCUAAACGGUGGGUAAAUUUCAUCUAAAGCUAAAUACAAGCCAGAGACCGAUAGCGCACAAGUAGAGUGAUCGAAAGAUGAAAAGCACUUUNAAAAGAGAGUCAAACAGUACGUGAAAUUGUUGAAAGGAAGGCACUUGCAAUCAGACUUGUUUGCAGAUGCUCAUCCUUCCUACCGAUUGGUGUAUUCUUCUGUCAGCGGGCCAGCCUCCUUUUUGGCGGUUGGAUAAAGAUAUUGGGAAUGUAUCUCUUCUCGGACAGUGUUGUAUGCUGNNNUGUUAUGGAUGACCCGACCCUGAGGUCUGCGCUUUUGCUAGG